CGAUCGGUAGCCGGACUGAGAGGUUGAACGGCCACAUUGGGACUGAGACACGGCCCAGACUCCUACGGGAGGCAGCAGUGGGGAAUAUUGCACAAUGGGGGAAACCCUGAUGCAGCGACGCCGCGUGGAGGAAGAAGGUCUUCGGAUUGUAAACUCCUGUUGUUGAGGAAGAUAAUGACGGUACUCAACAAGGAAGUGACGGCUAACUACGUGCCAGCAGCCGCGGUAAAACGUAGGUCACAAGCGUUGUCCGGAAUUACUGGGUGUAAAGGGAGCGCAGGCGGGAGAACAAGUUGGAAGUGAAAUCCAUGGGCUCAACCCAUGAACUGCUUUCAAAACUGUUUUUCUUGAGUAGUGCAGAGGUAGGCGGAAUUCCCGGUGUAGCGGUGGAAUGCGUAGAUAUCGGGAGGAACACCAGUGGCGAAGGCGGCCUACUGGGCACCAACUGACGCUGAGGCUCGAAAGUGUGGGUAGCAAACAGGAUUAGAUACCCUGGUAGUCCACACCGUAAACGAUGAUUACUAGGUGUUGGAGGAUUGACCCCUUCAGUGCCGCAGUUAACACAAUAAGUAAUCCACCUGGGGAGUACGACCGCAAGGUUGAAACUCAAAGGAAUUGACGGGGGCCCGCACAAGCAGUGGAGUAUGUGGUUUAAUUCGACGCAACGCGAAGAACCUUACCAAGUCUUGACAUCCCUUGACGAUGCUGGAAACAGUAUUUCUCUUCGGAGCAAGGAGACAGGUGGUGCAUGGUUGUCGUCAGCUCGUGUCGUGAGAUGUUGGGUUAAGUCCCGCAACGAGCGCAACCCUUAUGGUCAGUUACUACGCAAGAGGACUCUGGCCAGACUGCCGUUGACAAAACGGAGGAAGGUGGGGAUGACGUCAAAUCAUCAUGCCCUUUAUGUCUUGGGCUACACACGUACUACAAUGGCGUUAAACAAAGAGAAGCAAGACCGCGAGGUGGAGCAAAACUCAGAAACAACGUCCCAGUUCGGACUGCAGGCUGCAACUCGCCUGCACGAAGUCGGAAUUGCUAGUAAUCGUGGAUCAGCAUGCCACGGUGAAUACGUUCCCGGGCCUUGUACACACCGCCCGUCACACCAUGAGAGCCGGGGGGACCCGAAGUCGGUAGUCUAACCGCAAGGAGGACGCCGCCGAAGGUAAAACUGGUGAUUGGGGUGAAGUCGUAACAAGGUAGCCGUACUAGUAC
rnacentral:rRNA from 1 species